CGGCCAGCGACGGAUCGGCCGCCGCGGGCAGGCCCGGACCAAGGCGCACGCUCUCGACGGGGACAUGGCGGCACGUGCUGCGCUCGGCCAGCACGUCGGGAUAAAAAGCGGCCAGGUAUUCGCUGCGCGUCAUAUAGUCGCGCGUCUCGCGGUUGACAAACUUUUGCGUGACGGGCUCCCAGCGCCACCGCGCGGCUUCGGCCGGAUCGCCCACGGGCUGUCGACCCGCGAGGUAGGGCAGUUCGUCGACGCCCAGCGUGCGGUAGGAGGUGGCAUAGGCCAACCCGAGACGGUCGAGUAUGUCCUCCUGGCGCCGCUGGGCGUCUUCCUCUUCGGCCAGGAGGGCGUCGAGCGACGGCUCCAGUGCCAUGGUGACGGGCGACGGUGGCCUUUCGAGCACCAUCGUCGUCGUCGAACCCGCGCCGCGCGAUCGCAUCAUUUUUUUUCUUGUUUUCUUUUCCUUCCGUUGUCGGUUGUUGUCGCGUUUUUUAAACGCCGAAAUGAGACAGCCUUUUUUUCCUUGUUCCGACUGUCGGGUCAAAUCGUCUCUUGUGGCGAGUCCAAUAGAUGCCCU
rnacentral:lncRNA from 1 species